UGCCACCAUACUGUCGGCAGACAAACCUCCACCGAUAUACAAGUACUAUUGCGUCUACAUAGUGGAUUUUUAAUGGUGGCUACGGAAUCGAGACACAGGUGAAUUAAUACUCCGUUAAUAGUGGUGCUCGAGGUUACAAGGGUGUUUCAAAAAUGUCAGGGAUUACUCUUUGUGGAUGAUAGACAUUGGAAUGAUAAAUUGGAUAAUGUGGUUUCUGUCCCUCUUAUACAAGAGGUUAGAAAAAAAAUUUUAUUAUAUCCGUUAAACAAGACUUCUUCAUCUGUUUUUUCUAUUAUACUAAACUUAACAAACUUAAUAAACAAACCGAUGAAAGCAGAUGAAAUGUUCAUUCUCAAUAUCUAUUCAUGUUAUUCAUGUAAUUGUCGGUUUACAAAGAUUAUAGUGAUGUAAUUGCGCAUCUGCACGACCAUAUUGUCGGCAUGUGCUGAUAUCGCAUAAAAGCAAACGAAACAACACUGGCUCGUUGACAUUUUUGCAAUUUCACGCGAUUUUUUACCAUGAUUCGCGGCUAAACAAAUUAACUGUGUAAUUAUCACCACGUUCUCUUCAACUACUAGUAAAAUUAAGUCCUCCAAUUUUUCUAUAUAUUUUACAAGUCGACAAUGCUAAUAAUGUGUAUGUGUGCAUAUGUGUAAAAAACAUAAUGCGUAGAAAAUAAUGUAUAUCUCGUACAAGUCUUAUUAAAAUACAUAUGUACAUAAAGUGCAAAUUACUUUGAAUUUAUCUACUUUGUUAUAAACCAUUUUGCAAUUUGAAAUAAUUUUCAGAUAGAAAGUAAUUAAAAAGUUCGAAUAUAUAAAUGAAAAUGAUA